GCAAAAAAAUAGUCGCAAACGACGAAAACUACGCACUAGCAGCUUAAUAACCUGCUCAGAGCUCUCUUACCCUAGCUUCCGCUCGUAAGACGGGGACCAAUAAGAGAUCAAACCCAAACUAGCUAGCGCGGAUUCUCCCACCUGAGAGGAAAAGCGCGAAUUAUAAUUCAGGUUAGCCUUUAACUAGCGUGUCGGUUCGCAGGUUGCUGGUGAAAUUAAAGAUCGACUAAGCAUGUAGUACCAAUGAUGAAUGAUUUUUGGACGCGGGUUCAACUCU
rnacentral:tmRNA from 1 species